GAGUUUGAUCCUGGCUCAGGACGAACGCUGGCGGCGUGCUUAACACAUGCAAGUCGAACGAGGUCCAUGGAGUAGCAAUACUCCGGAAGACCUAGUGGCGAACGGGUGCGUAACACGUGAGAAACCAACCCCGGUCUCUGGGAUAACAGGUGGAAACGCCUGCUAAUACCGGAUGCCGUCGUUUCCUCGCAUGGGGAGAUGACGAAAGGGCUACCGGAUCGGGACGGUCUCGCGGCCUAUCAGCUUGUUGGAGAGGUAACGGCUCACCAAGGCAUCGACGGGUAGCUGGUCUGAGAGGAUGAUCAGCCACACUGGGACUGAGACACGGCCCAGACUCCUACGGGAGGCAGCAGUGGGGAAUCUUGCGCAAUGGGCGAAAGCCUGACGCAGCAACGCCGCGUGCGGGAUGAAGGCCUUCGGGUUGUAAACCGCUUUUACCAGGAAGGAAACUGACAGUACCUGGAGAAUAAGGUGCGGCCAACUACGUGCCAGCAGCCGCGGUGACACGUAGGCACCAAAGCGUUGUCCGGAUUUAUUGGGCGUAAAGAGCUCGUAGGCGGUUCAGUAAAUCGGGUGUGAAAACUCUGGGCUUAACCCAGAGAC
rnacentral:rRNA from 1 species